AAUUAGGGAAGCAGCAUGAGACAGCAAAAUGUUUGAUGGAGAAGACGUUAAUGGAGUCUAACUAAUUCCGUUGCAAGCAUGGCCGAUAACAGCACGCCCACACUGAUUAAAUUGCAAUCGAUUCCUGCAAAAUGUCAGGAAAUGCAAGGAUCUGCCGCCAUUCGAUGUGCCUCUAAUGAAAGCUGAAGGGUCGUGGGGGGUGCUGAAGCCUAUAUCAGCUGCAUCCGGGCGGUAGACAGGGUACACCUUGGACAAGUCGCCACCUCAACGAUGGUCCAGAACUCUGCAAGUCAACAUCCGCUCCCGGCUUCUCUCUCAGGCAGACAACGCUUGCACGCGCGCAUCUAAUAAAAGUCACAAGAUCAGCACUUCUCAGGACCAGCAGCUUCCUAGGAAGGUGGAAAGACCAUGAGACCAAAAUGGUAAGUUUGCAAAAUGUAGAAUUUGUGUGCCAGUUCCUCUGUGCAGAUUUGAGGAUGAAAGCAGCCACUCCAGAUUCCCUUGCACUCGCUAAGAGGGGCACGGUCAAAGCCGAUCCAGGACCAACACCCGAUACCUGACUGGAAGGAACCGAGAGGAGAGACAACACCUUGCCAGCGAUGACGAGAACAACUAAGGUUGCCAGCCAAUGUGUCCACCGGGACUCCAGCAGCUGUGGAAAGAAGUGUCGGGAGUGCCGAAGCAGCGAGGAGGCCUGAAGCAAGCCGAGGGCCUGGACCAAAGCCCCAACGCCCCAUACUUUGCCCCGCCUUCCCCAAAGCCCCAUACUUUUCCCCAAUUUCGGCCAGCACGGACAUGCCAUUAAACAGUCUGCCCAAUGGACUGAACCACACCCCAAGAACAGACAGAGACAGACUGUUUGAGUGGAUAUCUUUCUUCACCAAGGCAGCCAAAAGCCCAACGAGGUGUCGGCAGGCCACCAGCCUGAGGCACCACCGAGCCAUCCAUACGAGCACUAAUCGAACAUGGACUCAUACGAAAUUCAGUUGUGUGUACAAAAUCAAUUGGUAACUACAUUCAUUGCAAAUGCCGGGAAAAAUAAUAAUGCAACAGCUUACAGUCAUAAGUCUAUAUUAAUUCUAAACCAGAUCUUGUUUGAUUCAUUAUUAAUGUGAAAAUACAUCUUGAAUAAGCAUAUAUAUAUUCAUCUAAUUAUGUUCAUGAUCAAAGUAUUUUGGUAUUACGUUACUAACUCAAAGGGUAGGCCACUAAUUGUGUUCUGUGAGAUGGUUUUACUGCAGGCUGGUAACAGCGAUCGCUCUGAAGGAGGGUCAUAGACGGAAUUUUUGCCUCGUAUAAAAACAUUGAGGUUUUUGCCUCUAUCUGCGGUAGAGAUUUAAUUUAGUGGUCUAUAUCAGAAAUUGUUUUGGUCCAGGGUCUUAAGACCCUGGAAGGCGGGUAUGUCGUAGAAUUUCUGACCUUUGACCUAUAGUUCAUGUCUGUCAAAAAUGUAUGCUCAUUUUGAUUUCUCUUCCUCUUCUGUGGGACAAAAGUGAACUUUAAGUCGUGCCAACCUGUCUAACUGAAUGUGUUGACUGUCUGAAAGAUUCGAGUUGUUAUGGAACAGAUAGGGAAAACAAAACAAGACAUUGACGCACUAACAAGAGAGAUAAGAAAGGGAUAAAGCCAAACGAAGACAGUGUUUUGGACACCAUCUUCUCUUUCAUGGUGACGGGCGCGCCCGGGGGGAAACUUUCUGUGUGCUAGACAACUCAA